rnacentral:rRNA from 1 species
AUUGAACGCUGGCGGCAUGCUUUACACAUGCAAGUCGAACGGUAACAGGUUAAGCUGACGAGUGGCGAACGGGUGAGUAAUGCAUCGGAACGUGCCCGAUCGUGGGGGAUAACGCAGCGAAAGCUGCGCUAAUACCGCAUACGAUCUGAGGAUGAAAGCGGGGGACCGUAAGGCCUCGCGCGAUCGGAGCGGCCGAUGUCAGAUUAGGUAGUUGGUGGGGUAAAGGCCCACCAAGCCGACGAUCUGUAGCUGGUCUGAGAGGACGACCAGCCACACUGGGACUGAGACACGGCCCAGACUCCUACGGGAGGCAGCAGUGGGGAAUUUUGGACAAUGGGCGAAAGCCUGAUCCAGCAAUGCCGCGUGCAGGAAGAAGGCCUUCGGGUUGUAAACUGCUUUUGUACGGAGCGAAAAGGUCCUUUCUAAUACAAGGGGCUCAUGACGGUACCGUAAGAAUAAGCACCGGCUAACUACGUGCCAGCAGCCGCCGCGGUAA